AGCGAACGCUGGCGGCAGGCUUAACACAUGCAAGUCGAGCGGGCAUCCUUGUGGUGUGAGCGGCAGACGGGUGAGUAACGCGUGGGAACGCGCCCUUCGGUUCGGAAUAACUCAGGGAAACUUGAGCUAAUACCGGAUACGUGCGAGAGCAGAAAGGUUUAUCUGCCGAAGGAUCGGCCCGCGUCUGAUUAGCUAGUUGGUGAGGUUAUGGCUCACCAAGGCGACGAUCAGUAGCUGGUCUGAGAGGAUGAUCAGCCACACUGGGACUGAGACACGGCCCAGACUCCUACGGGAGGCAGCAGUGGGGAAUAUUGGACAGUGGGGGCAACCCUGAUCCAGCCAUGCCGCGUGAGUGAUGACGGCCUUAGGGUUGUAAAGCUCUUUUCUCCGGAACGAUAAUGACGGUACCGGAGGAAUAAGCCCCGGCUAACUUCGU
rnacentral:rRNA from 1 species